rnacentral:rRNA from 1 species
UACGAAGGGUGCAAGCGUUACUCGGAAUUACUGGGCGUAAAGGGUGCGUAGGUGGUUUUUUACGUCCGUUGUGAAAUCCCUGGGCUCAACCUGGGAAUGGCAGUGGAUACUGGAAAGCUAGAGUGCGGUAGAGGAUGGCGGAAUUCCCGGUGUAGCAGUGAAAUGCGUAGAGAUCGGGAGGAACAUCUGUGGCGAAGGCGGCCAUCUGGACCAGCACUGACACUGAGGCACGAAAGCGUGGGGAGCAAACAGG